ACCUGCUCUCACCUCACACUCAAACACAAAAUAUCACACACGGUCUGGCGGCUGGCCGGGACCUUCUCCGGAUACAGACAGGAAGACAGACUCUGCUUAGUGUGAGAGCUCUGCUCCUUUGCUCACCGGCUGUUUGUCUUUGAACAGUGAGGUUAAGCGGGAGACUGCAAGUGCAAUCCGCUAGAGGGCACUAUUGCACCAGACUGAAUAAAACGGUCGAUGGUGUUUUAUGUCCCCAACGUCGUCUUCGGUCUUCCAGGCAGCGCUGCCACCGUCGACUUAAAGGGACACCAGGCAAGCCUGAGUGUUUUUUCCUCAACGAAGCUCCCCCUAGUGUCUGCUAAUUCGCUCAGACUACUGCUGUCCCUCCCCCUCGCCACGAGCAACCCAGCUGAUCAGCUGUAAACCUUGCGGAGCAGAGGAACUGGCUAUUUCAAAUCCAACUAUGUCUACCGAGGAAUCAAUGUCAGCCUCAGCCUCGGAGUACACUGCUCAGGCCAUUGGUGGUAGGCCGACAACUUCAAGGCCGGUCAGACAGAU